UACGGAGGGGGCAAGCGUUGUUCGGAUUUACUGGGCGUAAAGGGCGCGUAGGCGGCGUGACAAGUCACUUGUGAAAUCUCCGGGCUUAACUCGGAACUGCCAAGUGAUACUGUCGUGCUAGAGUGCAGAAGGGGCAAUCGGAAUUCUUGGUGUAGCGGUGAAAUGCGUAGAUAUCAAGAGGAACACCUGAGGCGAAGGCGGAUUGCUGGGCUGACACUGACGCUGAGGCGCGAAAGCUAGGGUAGCAAACGGG
rnacentral:rRNA from 1 species